rnacentral:rRNA from 1 species
CACGUAGGGGCCAAGCGUUGUCCGGAUUUAUUGGGCGUAAAGAGCUCGUAGGCGGCUCGGUAAGUCAGGUGUGAAACCUCCAGGCUCAACCUGGAGACGCCACCUGAUACUGCUGUGGCUAGAGUCCGGUAGGGGAGCGUGGAAUUCCUGGUGUAGCGGUGAAAUGCGCAGAUAUCAGGAAGAACACCCGUGGCUAAGGCGGCUCUCUAGUACGGUACUGACGCUGAGACGCGAAAGCGUGGGGAGCGAACAGG